rnacentral:rRNA from 1 species
AGAGACGUCGAGCGUUGUUCGGAUUCAUUGGGCGUAAAGGGUGCGUAGGCGGUGAGGUAAGUUGGAUGUGAAAUCCCAAGGCCUAACCUUGGAAGUGCAUCCAAAACUACCUUGCUUGAGGACUGGAAGGGAGACUGGAAUUCUCGGUGUAGAGGUGAAAUUCGUAGAUAUCGGGAGGAACACCAGUGGCGAAGGCGGCUCUCUGGUCCGAUACUGACGCUGAGACGCGAAAGCGUGGGGAGCAAACAGG